CUUGCUCCUGAUCUCAGAUCCAGUCUUUCACCAUUGGGAAUGUGGUGUGUUACAUUAAUUGACUUUCAGAUAUUGAAAAGAAGAUCGGUGUUCACUAUACCAUCCAGGCUGGUCACCAACUCCUGGCUUCAACUGAUCCUCCCACCUCAAGCCUCCUGAGUAGCUGGGAUCACAGGCACAAGCCAGUGGACUCAGCUUUAAUUGUUUAAGUGUUUGGUAGAAUUCAUUAUUGAAGCCAUUUGGGUUUGGGCUUUUUUGAUUACUAAUUCAAUCUCUAUUUGUUAUAGGUCUUUCCAGAUCCUCUGUUUGUGUCUUUAGAGGAAUUUGUCCAUUUUAUUUAAGUUACAGUGUUUUGGGCGUAAGCAAUUUUAAGGAGAAAGUUAUCCUUAACCAAGAUGGAAAAGGUGAGGGCAGGGUAUUGCAGGGAUUUUACCUCCCACCGGGUCCCUCCCACAAACUUCUCCUAAUAUAAUACCGGCGGAGUUUGGGCUGUGGCUUUGGAUGUGUGAGUCUCAGAUGCCUGUUGGGCCCCCUCAUGGAAACGCUGGUGAGUGGUUGGAUGAACAACUUACCGGCGUGGCCCAUGUUGGAGACUGGGAAUUGUGACCACAGAGAGAGCCUUUAGAGCUGUCAGACAGGAAGAGGCACCAAGGAGCCAUUGCUCAGGUGGAGGGGAAGUUGAGGCAUGGUGCUUGGGCCUAGGGAGCCAGCCUGAAAGGUGAGAAGUCAGGAGAGGGGUCCCCGGCUUACAGCCUGGGAGCUGACUCAGAUUUGGCGAGUGCAGGUUUUGUGGAAUGGUGGUGUAUUAGUCCGUUUUCACAAUGCUAAUAAAGACACACCCGAGACUGGGCAAUUUACAAAAGAGAGAGGUUUAAUGACUUACAGUUCCAUAUGGCUGGG